AUGGAUAAAGAUGAAAUUGAACAUAUGAGUGACAAAGAAAUUCAAAAUUUUUUCAACGAAAUAGAAGAUUUAGUGAAUGAAAGACAAGACGAUAAAGAUGAUGGUGAUGGUGGUGAUGGUGAUGUUUAUAAUGUAGGAGUAGAAAAACAGCUUAGCAAAAAAGGUGAUGAAUUAAUUGAAAAAAAAAAAAACGACAAUAAAUUGUCAGUACAAUCUAAAAUCCAUUUAUUCCUUGAAGAAAUAAAUUUUAUUAAAGAAGUUCUUGAUACAUAUGAAAAAGAAAAUAAACAUAAUAAAAAUAAUAAUGACAAAUGUAAAAAUAAUGAAAUGACAGAAAAAUCAGAUGACAUUUUAAAGGAUGUAAUUUACUUAGAAUUAGGUCUAAAAGAAUCAGAAAGUACAAGCGAUGUUAACAAAUUACUAUUAAAAAUAAGUGAGAAUUUAUGCAGUAUAAAGAAUAAGGAUUUUAUAAUAGCUACCAAAAAAUCGCUAGAUAUCAGAAUAGAAGAUUUUCGAAGAAAUGAAAUAAGUGAAUCAUACUUUUUAAAAAAAAUAAACGAAAUAUAUACGAACACAUUGAAUGAAUUAGAUAUAGAAAAAAAUGCAGACGAUAAGAAGUCUAACGAAUAUGUAGUAGAUAAAUCGAAAAGUACAUUGUUGGAUGAUUUAUCGCAGAAUAUGUUAAAUGUGCCAUUACCAGUAAAGGACACAGUGGAUACAAAUUAUAAUGAACCACCUGUUUAUUUAAUAUCCAAAAAUAUAAGUACGGAAGGAGAAAGUAAAAGAAGUAAUAAAAAUUGUUACACAAAUGUGUAUACAUACAUAAGCAUAUAUAUACGUACAUAUACAUACAUAUAUAUAUAUAUAUAUACCGUCCUUUUGUUCAUUUACCAAAUAGGUGAUAAAUACCCAGAGAAAAAAAAAAAAAAAAAAAAUAGGAUGGAGCCAAAACUAGAGUCGUCUAACUUCCUUCAUAAAAAAAAGGUAUACAAUAUUUUUAUCUACUGUAAUAUGUAAAUAAUUUUAACUAGUCUUAGGAUAGUAUAUACGUGGCACAAGUGUUAAUGUAUGUACGUAUGUAUAUACUGACUUUUUUAUUUUUUAUUUUUCCCUUCUUGUAGUUGAAGUUAGUAGAACGAUGGAAAAAAGUUGCCGCAGAAACGAAUUUAGUUGAAGAUUCUGAUUAAAAAUGUCAAAUUUAUAUUAUAAAAUGUGUUUAGAGUAUUACAUCACAAAUUUUUUUAGUAUUAUUUGAUGUUGUAUAUGGGAGUAACCGUUUGUUCAACAUAUUUGCGCAGUUUUUUAUACAUAUACAUGCACGUACAUGUAUACAUAUAAUAUAUAUAUAUAUAGUAAACAAAAUUGCAACAUGAAGUUGUUUAAAUGUUAUAAACUUAUUUAUAUAUAUAUAUAUAUAUAUAUUUAUGCUUAUAUUUAUAACAGAACUUCGUAUUUAUUUUAUUUGAAAUAAUAUGUAUCUCAGUUUACACAAUUUUCUUAAAAAAAAAAAUAUAUAUAUAUAUAAUAUAUAUAUAUAUAUUUUUUUUCUAUUUUAAAGAUAUAACAUUUCGUAUACAUUUUUUUGUAAAUAGUUUAUUGUCACAUUUUUAAUUUUUUUUUUUUUUUUUUUUUUUUGUAUAUAUGUGUAUUUUUUUUUUUUUUUUUUUCAUUCUUUUUUUAUUUUAAGCUAUGAAAAUUUGACAUAAAUACAUGUGCUUAUUACUUAUUAACAUAUAUGUAAUUUAUUUUCUUGUUUUUACAUUAUUUCAUAUACAUAUGUGUUUUUUUAUUUUUUUAUAACAUUAUCAAGCAUAAAACUUUAUUCAAGCACAAGUGUCAACUAUGGAUAUAUGUAAUAUGUUUGGCCUCCAACUGUUUUAUAAAUGAUUUAUUACAUAUUACCCUCAUUAAUUCGUUAAUUAUUAUUAUAAUUAUUAUUAUAA
rnacentral:lncRNA from 1 species